rnacentral:rRNA from 1 species
UACGAAGGGGGCUAGCGUUGCUCGGAAUUACUGGGCGUAAAGCGCACGUAAGCGGUCUUUUAAGUCGGGGGUGAAAUCCUGGAGCUCAACUCCAGAACUGCCUUCGAUACUGGAAGACUUGAGUCCGGGAGAGGUGAGUGGAACUGCGAGUGUAGAGGUGAAAUUCGUAGAUAUUCGCAAGAACACCAGUGGCGAAGGCGGCUCACUGGCCCGGUACUGACGCUGAGGUGCGAAAGCGUGGGGAGCAAACAGG